rnacentral:rRNA from 1 species
UGGCGAACGGGUGAGUAACACGUGGAAAAUCUACCUUCGAGCGGGGGAUAACUCCGGGAAACUGGGGCUAAUACCGCAUAACAUCACGGGGCGGCAUCGUCCUGUGAUCAACGACGCACGUCGCUUGAAGAUGAGUCCGCGUCCCAUCAGCUAGUUGGCGGGGUAACGGCCCACCAAGGCUUUGACGGGUAGCCGGCUUGAGAGAGCGAACGGCCACAAGGGGACUGAGACACGGCCCCUACUCCUACGGGAGGCAGCAGUAGGGAAUUUUGGUCAAUGGGGGAAACCCUGAACCAGCGACGCCGCGUGGGUGAUGAAGUCCUUCGGGAUGUAAAACCCUUUUUACCGGGACGAAAGGAAGAUGACGGUACCGGUAGAAUAAGCCACGGCUAACUCCGUGCCAGCAGCCGCGGUAAUACGGGGGUGGCGAGCGUUGUCCGGAAUCACUGGGUGUAAAGGGCGUGUAGGUGGGUCUAUAAGUCGGUCGUAAAAUAUCCCGGCUCAACCGGGAACCUGCGAUCGAUACUAUUGGUCUUGAGUGCGGCAGAGGAGAAUGGAAUUCCUGGUGUAGCGGUGACAUGCGUAGAUAUCGGGAGGAACACCCGUGGCGAAGGCGGUUCUCUGGGCCUGCACUGACACUGAGGCGCGAAAGCAAGGGGAGCAAACAGACUUAGAUACUCUGGUAGUCCUUGUCCUAAACGAUGGGUACUAGGUGUUCGGCCAUUUAUGGCUGAGUGCCGAAGCUAACGCAUUAAGUACCCCACCUGGGGAGUACGAUCGCAAGGUUGAAACUCAAAGGAAUUGACGGGGACCCGCACAAGCGGUGGAGGAUGUGGUUUAAUUCG